GAUGAACGCUGGCUACAGGCUUAACACAUGCAAGUCGAGGGGAAACGACGGGGAAGCUUGCUUCCCCGGGCGUCGACCGGCGCACGGGUGAGUAACGCGUAUCCAACCUGCCUCUGACUGAGGGAUAACCCGUCGAAAGUCGGCCUAAUACCUCAUGGCAUCGUCUGCGGGCAUCCAACGACGAUUAAAGAUUUCAUCGGUCAGAGAUGGGGAUGCGUCUGAUUAGCUUGUUGGCGGGGUAACGGCCCACCAAGGCGACGAUCAGUAGGGGUUCUGAGAGGAAGGUCCCCCACAUUGGAACUGAGACACGGUCCAAACUCCUACGGGAGGCAGCAGUGAGGAAUAUUGGUAAAUGGGCGAGAGCCUGAACCAGCCAAGUAGCGUGCAGGAUGACGGCACUAUGGGUUGUAAACUGCUUUUAUGCGGGGAUAAAGUGAGGGACGUGUCCUUCAUUGCAGGUACCGCAUGAAUAAGGACCGGCUAAUUCCGUG
rnacentral:rRNA from 1 species